AUUGAACGCUGGCGGCAGGCCUAACACAUGCAAGUCGAACGAGUGGCGGACGGGUGAGUAAUGUUUGGGAAUCUGGCUUAUGGAGGGGGAUAACGACUGGAAACGGUCGCUAAUACCGCGUACCAUAGGAUGAGCCCAUAUGGGAUUAGGUAGUAGGUGGGGUAAUGGCCUACCAAGCCGACGAUCCCUAGCUGGUCUGAGAGGAUGACCAGCCACACUGGGACUGAGACACGGCCCGGACGCCUACGGGAGGCAGCAGUGGGGAAUAUUGCACAAUGGGGGCAACCCUGACGCAGCCAUGCCGCGUGAAUGAAGAAGGCCUUCGGGUUGUAAAGUUCUUUCGGUGACGAGGCGUUAACCACAGAAGAAGCACCGGCUAACUCCGUGCCAGCAGCCGCGGUAAUUC
rnacentral:rRNA from 1 species